AGGUCAUUUCCAACAAGGUUUUUGAGGCUCUGAAAUCAGAAGCUUUUAACACUGUGAGCAGGGUUGAAUUUCUCCAUAAAUGCCGUAGUCUCUCGAUGGUGCUGUUUUCCUGAGGAGAUACAAGA
ensembl:snoRNA